GAUGAACGCUGGCGGCGUGCCUAAUACAUGCAAGUCGAGCGAACAGACGAGGAGCUUGCUCCCCUGCCGUUAGCGGCGGACGGGCGAGUAAGACGUGGAUAACCUACUAAUAAGACUGGGAUAACGUCGGGAAACCGGAGCCAAUACCGGCUAAUAUAUCGAACCGCAUGGUUCAAUAGUGAAAGACGGUUUUCCUGCCACUUAUAGAUGGAUCCGCGCCGCAUUAGCCAGUUGGUAAGGUAACGGCUUACCAAGGCGACGAUGCGUAGCCGAGCUGAGAGGGUGAUCGGCCACACUGGAACUGAGACACGGUCCAGACUCCUACGGGAGGCAGCAGUAGGGAAUCUUCCGCAAUGGGCGAAAGCCUGACGGAACAAUGCCGCGUGGGUGAUGAAGGUCUUCGGAUCGUAAAACCCUUUUAUUAGGGAAGAACAAAUGUGUAAGUAACUAUGCACGUCUUGACGGUACCUAAACAGAAAGCCACGGCUAACUACGUG
rnacentral:rRNA from 1 species